rnacentral:rRNA from 1 species
UGGGGAAUAUUGGGCAAUGGGGGAAACCCUGACCCAGCAACGCCGCGUGAAGGAAGAAGGCUUUCGGGUUGUAAACUUCUUUUACCAGGGACGAAGAAAGUGACGGUACCUGGAGAAAAAGCCACGGCUAACUACGUGCCAGCAGCCGCGGUAAUACGUAGGUGGCAAGCGUUGACCGGAUUUACUGGGUGUAAAGGGCGUGUAGGCGGAGGUGCAAGUCAGAAGUGAAAGCCAAGGGCUUAACUCGUGAACUGCUUUUGAAACU